UCGAGGGGCAGCAUGGUCUUAGCUUGCUAAGGCCGAUGGCGACCGGCGCACGGGUGAGUAACACGUAUCCAACCUGCCGUCUACUCUUGGACAGCCUUCUGAAAGGAAGAUUAAUACAAGAUGGCAUCAUGAGUCCGCAUGUUCACAUGAUUAAAGGUAUUCCGGUAGACGAUGGGGAUGCGUUCCAUUAGAUAGUAGGCGGGGUAACGGCCCACCUAGUCUUCGAUGGAUAGGGGUUCUGAGAGGAAGGUCCCCCACAUUGGAACUGAGACACGGUCCAAACUCCUACGGGAGGCAGCAGUGAGGAAUAUUGGUCAAUGGGCGAGAGCCUGAACCAGCCAAGUAGCGUGAAGGAUGACUGCCCUAUGGGUUGUAAACUUCUUUUAUAAAGGAAUAAAGUCGGGUAUGGAUACCCGUUUGCAUGUACUUUAUGAAUAAGGAUCGGCUAACUCCGUGCCAGCAGCCGCGGUAAUACGGAGGAUCCGAGCGUUAUCCGGAUUUAUUGGGUUUAAAGGGAGCGUA
rnacentral:rRNA from 1 species